UGAACAUUCCAGGCUCUGUGAACUAAGUGACUGAAGCUGAUUGACACAGGUCAAGGGGACUUCAAGGAAGAAAGCCAGCCUUAGACUGACAUCAGAGAACCAAACUCCGGUGUCUAAGCUCAAGAGGUUAGAAUCCUGAGAACUGUUUGGAAUAAGGAAUCCAAAUAUUGUCUUCCAGCUUCACCUUGUCACGACAGUCCUCGCCAGGGACAGCUGAGGAUGGAAACCAGCCCUGCACACUGCUGGCUCUGGAGGCCUGGUAGAUUAACAGGCACCGGACUUACAAUUGGUCUCUUAAGCCUUUCAACUCUUUAGAAGCAAAGGGGAAGGCAUGGAGGGUGCCAUGAAAUCAAAGACAUUGUUCGUAAGCUCCUGGAUCUUAUCAGUGUGAGGAAGUGUUCAAAAAAGUUCUGUCCCCCCUAGAGACAAAAAGACCUCUUCUCUGCCUCCCAGCUCCCAUGGCGCCUCUCUCGAUACGUGGCCUCUUCUGAUACUUACCUCAGCUUGGACACAGCUCUCUGAAGAUCAUCUACAUCUCCAUUUAUGCCGUGUGCACGCAGUACCAACAGAGGUCAGAGGAGGGUGUCGGAUCCCCUGGAACUGGAGUCACAGAUUCUUCCUUGCGUGGAUGAAACAGUCCCAACGAACACUUUAAAAAGACAAAUGUUCCCGACAGCACUGGUUGAAUUCAAAACUCGGCAGAUCCAUGUUCUUAUCCUUAGACAAGAGAGGGGCCAUAACAAGAUGGAAUGACGGAACAGACGUGAGAGAUGAUGGUACAGUGACUCGGGUAACCCCAGAAAAGGGACAGCUCUUCUACAGCUCAGUGGGGACAGGGACAAAAAGAAACAAUUUCAUUUCAGUCCACCCAGAGGGUCUGCACUUCUCGGAGCCAGAAGGUGGAGAAGAGUAGGGAUGGAGGAAGUUCGAAGUUUUAGGAGUCUGCUCUUGGGUCCCUAGGCAUGAGGACAAGCUUUUCCUGUACUCAAUGCUCAUCUCUCAGUUGUGCCCACAUUGGUACACAUUACUUGCUUUCAACUGCUGCUGCUGCUGUUUCCUAAUUCAAUAAAGAUAUGGCUGGCUCAGCAGAGAGCUGUCAUCCA
rnacentral:lncRNA from 1 species